GACGGGACCGCACAAGCGGUGGAUGAUGUGAUUAAUUCGAUGCAACGCGUAAAACCUUACCUACCUUGACAUGUCCGGAAUCCCGAAGAGAGUUUGGGAGUGCUCGCAAGAGAACCGGAACACAGGUGCUGCAUGGCUGUCGUCAGCUCGUGUCGUGAGAUGUUGGGUUAAGUCCCGCAACGAGCGCAACCCUUGUCAUUAGUUGCCAUCAUUUGGUUGGGCACUCUAAUGAGACUGCCGGUGACAAACCGGAGGAAGGUGGGGAUGACGUCAAGUCCUCAUGGCCCUUAUGGGUAGGGCUUCACACGUCAUACAAUGGUCGGUACAGAGGGUUGCCAACCCGCGAGGGGGAGCUAAUCCCACAAAGCCGAUCGUAGUCCGGAUCGCAGUCUGCAACUCGACUGCGUGAAGUCGGAAUCGCUAGUAAUCGUGGAUCAGCAUGUCACGGUGAAUACGUUCCCGGGUCUU
rnacentral:rRNA from 1 species